rnacentral:lncRNA from 7 species
CGCGGUCGUUGUUGACCCGCAUGGUCAGCUCUUCCUCGUGGAACAGAUCACGUAACAGCCGGUCCGUUUUCCACGCCGCGCCAUGUGCGCCACCAGCUGAUUCCGAGUCCUAGCCUCUGACUAAAUUGCCGUUCCCACCGAAGCGGGGUUUAAGAACCGAAGUAUCGUGGCCUUUCCUCUGCAUCCCAUCCAAGCGCCGCCCCAUAGCUCACUUUUCCUUGCCCCGCCGUGCCAGCAUCGUUAAGGGCGGAUAUUGCCGCCGCCAUAGAAUCUCGGGCCGUGACUAGCCAAAGCUUUAGGCGGGAGUUCAAUUGGAUUCGCUUGGUCGCGGUGAAGGUUGCCAGCGACGUUUCUGGGGCGAAUCGGGGCCCAGCACCUUGGAUUUCUCGCCGUUGAGUUGCAGUCCACCGCGUACCGCACUGCUCUGGAGCCAGGGCACGACUCGACAUAAACCUAGUGAGGACACGUAUCACUUGAAGAGCA